ACAUGAUGAUAUUCAAACAAAUAUCUGGAAUUACCGGCAGAUUGUUUAGUGGUGACUCAUUUUUCUGAAC
ensembl:snoRNA